CCAAUCUCUGUGAUUUGAUCUCUCUCUUCUCUCCUCUUCUUCGAUUCUUCUAUGGCGAUUCAAUCUCUGGUGACAUAAAGCUUCUAUUUUUCGACACAGCAGGAUAAUACACACAGGUCAAGGAGAAGUGUGGUGGAACCUGUGGUAUUUUCUGAAAUCCAUCUCGUCUAGUGCAGAAAUCUAUGUUUGAAUUUGGUUGGUUUUUAUUGAAUUAAGAUUUGGUCGGAUGAAGAAUGUCGGUAUUUUCUUCAACUUUGUAUAACUGAGAAAAGAAUGGGCAACAGAACAAAGACUGGACUGACUUUAAUUGGAAAGGCGUCUAUCGCAAAGAAUUUUGAAGAGAAAUUCCAAAAAAGAUAUGGUUGGGAUAAGUUUAAAAACAAGUAUGAUGUAUGUAGAAGAGCAUACAACAAGUAUAAGAAGUUGCUCCAUAACAGAACAAGAAUGAGUUUUGGUGCUCUUGGAAGAAUAAACAUGAGUGAUUACUGGUGGAAUGAAAGAAUUAAGGAAUGGCCAGAAGCUACGAAGUAUAAGAACAAACAUUUGCCCAACAUGGACGUUUUUAUAGAUGAAUUUUGUGCAGUUCAUGUUACUGGAGCAGAGGGAUAGAGUGCCUAACAAGGAGAAACAAGUUUAGAUUCUAGAGUGGAUGCAGAAAAUGAUGAUGAAGCAGAUUCAGUUGAUACAAAUAUGGCACCACCAGUGCUAGAAACACAGUUUAGAAAGAAAGCGUAAGGAGGUUGAUAUAGCUACAGAGACUUCCGCUUCACGAAACACGAUUCGUACACGUAAGAAUGAAUUAGUUGAGAAAAUGUUGGAGCGUGAUGAUUGCUGCAGUGUGUACGUGUAGUAGAGAUUCUGAAUGAGUUGCCUAGACUGACAAUGUGGUCGCGUUUCCACGGAGCCUCGGUUGACCAUCUUCUGGCAGACGCCGCUAAUCGACAGGGUUUCAUCGCAUUUCCUAGUAUUGAGGAUAAGAUUAGUUAUUUGGAGCAUAGGACUGGAAUUAACUUUGAUGACCAAACCUUUUUAU